UGCCAGGAGGGACAUCAUGAAUGGCACGUUUUAUGUGCAAAACAGGAUAGUGUUCGAAUUUUUUAUGUUAUCUUAUAUAAUACUGUCCAUUUUCAUGGAUGGAACCACAUAAUCAUAUGCUUGCUAUCUAAGGUGGUCAAAACAAACAAAUCCCAGAAAGGGCGGAACUGAGUGAUCGUGUAUUAGCUGGGGUUAUACUGGCAAAAAUAAACUGAGAUUAUGGGCCUUUCAAUAUUCACAGUUAAUUUAAUGGAAAUUGGUGGCUAGGGUUCAUAAAUAUUUGGGCUUCCUUGAGUAACUUUAAACUAGAUUUUGGGACAAUUUCUUAACAAGAUGUUAUAAAAUAAUUAGAAGGUGACAAUU
rnacentral:sRNA from 1 species